rnacentral:rRNA from 1 species
AUGUUGACUGCGUACUUUGAAGCAAACAACUUACAUGAGAAAGCACGAGGCAUACUAUACAGAGACUUUCCGGAAUAUUAUACUUGGCAAAGACGAGGGAAGUUUUGGCAAGAGAGGAAACGAGCCGCUGUGAUCCAGAUAGGCAGGAUCGUCUCAGCACACCCAGCUGAAGGAGAACGAUACUAUCUUCGAGUUCUCCUAAAUCAUGUGACAGGCGCCACCAGCUACGAAGACCUACGAACAGUCGAUGGACAAGUAAUGCCAACCUUCCGUGAAGCCGCAGAAAGACGGGGGCUCAUUGAGGCAGACAACACACUAGAUGACUGCAUGACAGAAGCAGAGUUAUUUCGAAUGCCAUCAUCGCUACGAAGGCUAUUCGCGACAAUCUUGGUUUUUUGUGAGCCUAGCGACGUACGUGGCCUCUGGAACAAACACCUUGAGGCAAUGUCAGAAGACUACAACAGAAACUGCAAAUGCAAGCACACGAUCGAACAGAUGGUUCUGAAAAAUAUUAGGGACAUGUUGCACUCAAUGGGAAAAGACAUUGAAUCGUUUCCUCUUCCAGAGAUCGACAAACAACAUGAGAUGACAGACGACAUACCUAGGGAGAUCAUUGAGGAGACCUCCAUCGAGGUGGACCCUGAGGACGUAUCGUUGCAUGAAAACCUAAACAACGAGCAGAGGAAGGCCUACGACAAAAUCUUAGCCACAGUUGACCACCAAAGAGGAGGUAUAUUCUUUGUCGAUGGGCCGGGAGGCACAGGAAAAACUUUUCUUUAUAGGGCGCUCUUGGCCACAAUACGCGGACAAGGCAAGAUUGUUGUGGCGACAGCCACUUCCAGUGUUGCUGCUUCCAUAAUGCCUGGAGGGAGGACCGCACACUCGAGGUUCAAGAUUCCACUAAAAAUAGAUGAUGGAGCUAUUUGUAGCUUUACAAAACAGAGUGGGACAGCAAAGCUACUCCAAGCAGCAUCACUAAUAAUCUGGGAUGAAGCAUCUAUGACCAAGAGGCAAACAGUGGAGGCGUUAGACAAAAUCAUGCGGGACAUAAUGGAUAGACCAGAUCUUCCAUUUGGUGGAAAAACAAUCGUAUUUGGGGGAGAUUUUAGACAAGUGCUCCCUGUUGUCCGAAAAGGAACAAGAGCUCAGAUAGUAGAUGCAUCACUACGCAGGUCGGAGCUUUGGAGUUGCAUGUGUCAACUGAAGCUUGUGCGCAACAUGAGGGCUCAAAACGACCCAUGGUUCGCAGAAUACCUACUACGCAUUGGAAACGGAACCGAGGAGACAAAUGAUGAUAGUGAAAUACUUGUACCUACAAGUAUAUGUGUGUCAAAUAAGACAGAUGAUAAUGGCCGGGAUAGACUCAUUGACAGUAUCUAUCAAACGGGAAAUGCUUCCCUAAAAGAUCCAAAGUACAUCACGUCAAGAGCAAUUUUAUCCACAAGGAACGAUUGUGUAGACAAGAUCAACCUAAAAAUGAUUGAUCGCUUCCAGGGGGAGGAGAUGGUGUACCACAGCUUUGAUUCUGUAGAAGACGACCCACAUAACUACUAUCCACCAGAAUCCCUAAACACCCUAACCCCAAAUGGACUACCUCCACAUAUGCUGAAGCUCAAAAUAAAUUGUCCAAUCAUACUACUUAGGAACAUCGACCCUGCCAAUGGACUUUGCAACGGCACGAGAUUGGUCGUACGUGGAUUUCAAAAAAAAUACAAUUGA